UUCUAACAGAACUUUGCCCUCCUCUGCGAUCUUAGUGCGUGCUCCAGGCUGACUUCAUCUCCUCCCAUAAAGAUACGGUCGUAAGCGGUCGGGCUGGAUGAACUCUUUCUCGUCCCUGAUCCUCCUUUGGGCUACUCUUCCUUCCACCCCGGAUGCUCCCUAGGUGGGUUCCCGACGUUAGUAAAGGAAGGCUUCUGCUCCCCCUGGUGGUCCUAAAUGGAAAAGGUGAGUAAAUCGCACACCGUAUCUCCCCUUCCCUUAACAAAUUUUUGUUAGUGAGCAUACAUUAGCUGGGUCCCCCUCCUCAGGAAAAGAGUCUCCUGAGGGAAACAGAGAUGUGAACAACUCUACAUUAAAGUCUGGAAAGAGCCAUGGGAGUCUGGUAUAAGGAUCAAGGAUGGCCACACCACCUGCCUGAACACAUCCAGGGAUGGGACAUCCAAGACCUCCUGGUUAAAGAGAAUUGUUUUCAAAAAGAAAAAAAAUCAUGACUCUCAGACAACUAUAAAGUGAACACACAUCAAAGAUUUUAUUUGACUCAUUAAUUAAUGAGGGAACGAGUAAAGUGUGAAAAACCUGUUUACAGAAGG
rnacentral:lncRNA from 1 species